UCCGAUGUGGUCUAGUGGCUAGGAUUCCUGGUUUUCACCCAGGCGGCCCGGGUUCAAUUCCCGGCAUCGGAG
rfam:Tropilaelaps mercedesae isolate Wuxi-XJTLT scaffold0000009926, whole genome shotgun sequence.